rnacentral:rRNA from 1 species
GGACCAAGGAGUCUAGCAUGUGCGCGAGUCAUUGGGAUAUUGACUAAACCUAAAGGCGCAAUGAAAGUGAAGGUCCGCCUUGCGCGGACCGAGGGAGGAUGGGCGGUCCCGAGGGACCGCCUCGCACUCCCGGGGCGUCUCGUUCUCAUCGCGAGAAGAGGCGCACCCAGAGCGUACACGCUGGGACCCGAAAGAUGGUGAAUUAUGCCUGGUCAGGACGAAGUCAGGGGAAACCCUGAUGGAGGUCCGUAGCGAUUCUGACGUGCAAAUCGAUCGUCGGAACUGGGUAUAGGGGCGAAAGACUAAUCGAACCAUCUAGUAGCUGGUUCCCUCGGAAGUUUCCCUCAGGAUAGCUGGCGCUCGCUUCUCGCGAGUCUCAUUCGGUAAAGCGAAUGAUUAGAGGCAUUGGGGUCGAAACGGCCUCAACCUAUUCUCAAACUUUAAAUGGGUGAGAUCUCCGGCUUGCUUGAACUGUGAAGCCGCGAGAUAUCGGAUCAGAGUGCCAAGUGGGCCACUUUUGGUAAGCAGAACUGGCGCUGUGGGAUGAACCAAACGCCGAGUUAAAGCGCCUAAAUCGACGCUUAUGGGAUACCAUGAAAGGCGUUGGUAACUUAAGACAGCAGG